rnacentral:rRNA from 1 species
GAUGAACGCUGGCGGCGUGCCUAAUACAUGCCAGUCGAGCGAACGGACGAGAAGCUUGCUUCUCUGAUGUUAGCGGCGGACGGGUGAGUAACACGUGGAUAACCUACCUAUAAGACUGGGAUAACUUCGGGAAACCGUAGCUAAUACCGGAUAAUAUUUUGAACCGCAUGGUUCAAAAGUGAAAGACGGUCUUGCUGUCACUUAUAGAUGGAUCCGCGCUGCAUUAGCUAGUUGGUAAGGUAACGGCUUACCAAGGCAACGAUGCAUAGCCGACGUGAGAGGGUGAUCGGCCACACUGGAACUGAGACACGGUCCAGACUCCUACGGGAGGCAGCAGUAGGGAAUCUUCCGCAAUGGGCGAAAACCUGACGGAGCAACGCCGCGUGAGUGAUGAAGGUCUUCGGAUCGUAAAACUCUGUUAUUAGGGAAGAACAUAUGUGUAAGUAACUGUGCACAUCUUGACGGUACCUAGUCAGAAAGCCACGGCUAACUACGUG